GGAGAAGAACCCGGAACCGGCCCCAGCUUAAGUAUUCUGGAAAAAGUACAGAAUUGAAUCCUUGGAGUGGAGCACACUGAUUGUCCAGGCCGGGGUCGGAUGCCUGUAUUUAAAUCCAGAAGUAGGCUCAGCCCCAUCUAAACCAUGUGAGCUGACACUGAGCCAGGAGUCUUCUCUACAAAAACCAUAAUGCUGUUACAGAGGCAGAGGAAAUGGGAGCCAGUGGUAAAUGCUCCGUGGAAACACAUUGCUGAUUGCAAUAAAGACUACAUUUCCCAGCCUCCCUUGCAGCAAGAAGUGGCCAUGUGACUGAGGUAUGGCCAGUGAGAUGUGAGCAGAACAUGGGACAGCAAACAAGGUGAUCAGCCAUUUGGACCUCUGGAUGGGGUCAACAUGCUGGUGAGAACGGGACAACAAGUUAGGGGCCCAAGCCUCUGACAACUUUCUGGUACAGAGCCACCACCCAGCUCAGACAUCCCUGUGAAAAACAA